ACGAAGUACUAUGCCAUGAAAUGUGGAACGUGGCUUCCUGAACAAUGGCAGACAGUCUGAAUGUUGAAAUGUGAAGGUGCAGGGGAAUUUGUUCACCAUGGAUUGAAAGUUAACCAAACAGAAAUGGCAGAUAGGAGACAGCCAGACAUGCAAUUUCCUUCUAGUCCUUCAGUUCUUCAUGCUGAUGGACGCCUGCAUAUUGAAUUAUUUCAUCUGAGGCAAACUACAAUGGAAAAAUAAAAUCACCUGAAAUGAUGAACAGUUAAGUUAUAAAUGAAUGCUGACAAUAGAAAACAGUUAGCAUAAUGUCUUGUGUAGUUUAAAUAUAUGUAGAAGUAAGAUGAACUUAACAAUGACACAAAAUCUGAAAUGGAGUAAACACAUUUCGAGUGUUCUCUAAUUCUAACAGCAUUGGAUAAACUGGUAGAGAAAAUAAUUUGUAUUGAAUAUAAUAAAUAAAACACAGAAAAUGUAAUAUCUCAUAAUAUUUAGUAGAACCAGUAAAAUAAUAUUGAAAGAAUGUAACUAAGAAACCAAAUACAGAAAAAAAAUUAUUAAUUCAAAA
rnacentral:lncRNA from 1 species